GACGUAGGGCGCGAGCGUUGUCCGGAUUUAUUGGGCGUAAAGAGCUCGUAGGCGGCUUGUCGCGUCGACUGUGAAAACCCGGGGCUCAACCCCGGGCCUGCAGCCGAUACGGGCAGACUAGAGUUCGGCAGGGGAGACUGGAAUUCCUGGUGUAGCGGUGAAAUGCGCAGAUAUCAGGAGGAACACCGGUGGCGAAGGCGGGUCUCUGGGCCGAUACUGACGCUGAGGAGCGAAAGCGUGGGGAGCGAACAGG
rnacentral:rRNA from 1 species